GCACAGCAGUCGCGAAUACUUUACAAUGUGCGAAAGCACGUUAAGGGAACUCUGAGUGCCUCCUAAGGAGGCUGUUCAGGUGUCUAAAAGCACCUGGAGUAAGGGCUGGGUAAGACCGGUGCCAGCCGCCGCGGUAACACCGGCAGCCCAGGUGGUAGCCACUUUUAUUGGGUCUAAAGCGUCCGUAGCCGGUUGAGUAAGUUCCUUGGGAAAUUUGGCUGCUCAACAGUCAAGCUUCCAGGGAAUACUGCUCGACUUGGGACUGGGAGAGGUCAGAGGUACUCCAGGGGUAGGGGUGAAAUCCAUUAAUCCCUGGGGGACCACCGGUAGCGAAGGCGUCUGACCAGACCAGGUCCGACGGUGAGGGACGAAGGCUAGGGGCGCGAACCGGAUUAGAUACCCCCGUAGU
rnacentral:rRNA from 1 species